AUGGUCUCUUCUCGGCGGAGUCCGGGAAGUGAACACGGUUCUUGUGUUAUGCUUGAACGUGCCGAUGAUACCAGUGCAGAUGACACAACCGAGCUCAAGUGGGAGCUCGAUGAAGAUCUUUUUGUUACUAUGUUUCUUUUCCGGAUGAUCAGUAGUGGAGCCCAUUUGACAUCGAAUGCUUCCAGGCCUAGUUGUGACCAUCUGUCUGAGAACUGGUUGUUUACACCCGCGGAGCUAAAUAGUUCUUACUACAUGUCAGUUUGUAUAGAGGACAACUCCAGAAGUCAAGGUCCUGAAGACAGUCCAGCAUCAGUAGGAUUGAAAGUAUGGAAGACCGUGCCAUUUGUUGAAGAUACACUCGUCUCUGGAACAGAAGCUGUAAAACUUAUUGCCUGA
rnacentral:rRNA from 1 species